ensembl:snRNA RNA, U6atac small nuclear 39, pseudogene
GUGUUUAUGAAAAUAGAGAAAUAGGUUAGCAGUUUCUUUGGGGAGAAUGGAAUAAAUUCUAGGAUGUGUACCACACACGUGCAUUUAAGGAAUCACUAUUUCUUUAUGGCAUUUGAAAUUUGUAACUGA